rnacentral:rRNA from 1 species
GGAGGAAAAGAAACCAACAGGGAUUGCCUCAGUAACGGCGAGUGAAGCGGCAAGAGCUCAACUUUGGAAUCGCUCCGGCGAGUUGUAGUCUGGAGGUGGCCACCACGAGGUGUUCUAGCAGCAGGCAAGUCCUUUGGAACAAGGCGCCAGCGAGGGUGACAGCCCCGUACCUGCUUUUGCUAGUGCUUCCUGUGGCCCACCGACGAGUCGAGUUGUUUGGGAAUGCAGCUCUAAGUGGGUGGUAAAUUCCAUCUAAGGCUAAAUAUUGGCGAGAGACCGAUAGCGAACAAGUACAGUGAUGGAAAGAUGAAAAGCACUUUGAAAAGAGAGUGAAACAGUACGUGAAAUUGUUGAAAGGGAAGGGCUUGCACCCAGACACGGUUUCGGCCGGGCCAGCAUCAAGUAGAACGGGGUUAAAAGACUUGGGGAAUGUAGCUACUUCGGUAGUGUUAUAGCCCUUGGUGAUGACCCCUGUUUUGCUUGAGGACAGCGGUCUCUAGGAUGCUGGCGCAAUGGUUGCAAGCCACCCGUCUUGUC